rnacentral:rRNA from 1 species
UACGGGGGGUGCGAGCGUUGUCCGGAAUCACUGGGCGUAAAGGGUGCGUAGGUGGCGUCGUAAGUCUGUGGUGAAAGCCCGGAGCUCAACUCCGGGUCUGCCGCGGAUACUGCGAGGCUUGAGUGCUGUAGAGGGGGGUAGAAUGCCGGGUGUAGCGGUGGAAUGCGUAGAGAUCCGGCAGAAGACCGGUGGCGAAGGCGGCCCCCUGGGCAGUAACUGACACUGAGGCGCGACAGCGUGGGGAGCAAACAGG